GUGCUCACCUGGGCAGCACAAACACUAAAACUAGAACGAUACUGAGAAGAUUAGCAUGGCCCUGGAAAGGAUGACUCAUAAAUUUGUGAAGUGUUCCACUUGUUU